rnacentral:rRNA from 1 species
UACGGGAGGCAGCAGUGGGGAAUAUUGGACAAUGGGCGAAAGCCUGAUCCAGCCAUGCCGCAUGAGUGAAGAAGGCCUUCGGGUUGUAAAGCUCUUUUAGUGAGAAAGAUAAUGACGGUACUCACAGAAGAAGUCCUGGCUAACUCCGUGCCAGCAGCCGCGGUAAUACGGAGAGGGCUAGCGUUAUUCGGAAUUAUUGGGCGUAAAGAGCACGUAGGUGGUUUUUUAAGUCAGAUGUGAAAUCCCUGGGCUUAACCUGGAACUGCAUUUUGAAACUGAAAUACUAGAGUAUCGUAGAGGGAGGUAGAAUUCUAGGUGUAGCGGUGAAAUGCGUAGAUAUCUGGAGGAAUACCUGUGGCGAAAGCGGCCUCCUAAACGAAUACUGACACUGAGGGUGCGAAAGCGUGGGGAGCAAACAGGGAUUAGAUACC